rnacentral:rRNA from 1 species
AAUUUUGGGCAAUGGGGGAAACCCUGAUCCAGCCAUCCCGCGUGUAUGAUGAAGGCUNNNGGGUUNUAAAGUACUUUUGGCAGNGAANAAAAGGUAUCCCCUAAUAUGGGAUACUGCUGACUGUAUCUGCAGAAUAAGCACCGGCUAACUACGUUCCAGCAGCCGCGGUAAUACGUAGGGUGCAAGCGUUAAUCGGAAUUACUGGGCGUAAAACGUGUGUAGGCGGUUCGGAAAGAAAGAUGUGAAAUCCCAGGGCUAAACCUUGGAACUGCAUUUUUAACUGCCGAGCUAGAGUAUGUCAGAGGGGGGUAGAAUUCCACGUGUAGCAGUGAAAUGCGUAGAUAUGUGGAGGAAUACCGAUGGCGAAGGCAGCCCCCUGGGAUAAUACUGACACUCAGACACGAAAGCGUGGGGAGCAAACAGG